rnacentral:rRNA from 1 species
GACGAACGCUGGCGGCGUGCUUAACACAUGCAAGUCGAGCGGAAAGGCCUCUUCGGGGGUACUCGAGCGGCGAACGGGUGAGUAACACGUGAGUAAUCUGCCCUGCGCUCUGGGAUAGCCACCGGAAACGGUGAUUAAUACCGGAUAUGACCGCUACACGCAUGUGUUGGUGGUGGAAAGUUUUUUCGGCGCAGGAUGUGCUCGCGGCCUAUCAGCUUGUUGGUGAGGUAAUGGCUCACCAAGGCUUUGACGGGUAACCGGCCUGAGAGGGUGACCGGUCACACUGGGACUGAGACACGGCCCAGACUCCUACGGGAGGCAGCAGUGGGGAAUAUUGGACAAUGGGCGGAAGCCUGAUCCAGCAACGCCGCGUGAGGGAUGACGGCCUUCGGGUUGUAAACCUCUUUCAGUACCGACGAAGCGAGAGUGACGGUAGGUACAGAAGAAGGACCGGCCAACUACGUGCCAGCCGCCGCAGUAACAC